CCAAGCGUUGUUCGGAUUUACUGGGCGUAAAGGGCGCGUAGGCGGCGUGUUAAGUCACUUGUGAAAUCUCUGAGCUUAACUCAGAACGGUCAAGUGAUACUGAUGUGCUAGAGUGCAGAAGGGGCAACCGGAAUUCUUGGUGUAGCGGUGAAAUGCGUAGAUAUCAAGAGGAACACCUGAGGUGAAGACGGGUUGCUGGGCUGACACUGACGCUGAGGCGCGAAAGCUAGGGUAGCAAACGGG
rnacentral:rRNA from 1 species